rnacentral:rRNA from 1 species
GUUUCUUCGGAAAUGAGUAGAGUGGCGCACGGGUGAGUAACGCGUGGAUUAUCUACCUAUUGGUACGGGACAACAGUUGGAAACGACUGCUAAUACCGUAUAAGCUGGAAACGGGAAAGGGGGCCUCUUCUUGAAAGCUCUCGCCAGUAGAUGAGUCCGCGUUUCAUUAGCUAGACGGUGGGGUAACGGCCUACCGUGGCAACGAUGAAUAGCAGGCCUGAGAGGGUGGCCUGCCACACUGGGACUGGAACACGGCCCAGACUCCUACGGGAGGCAGCAGUGGGGAAUAUUGCGCAAUGGACGAAAGUCUGACGCAGCGACGCCGCGUGGAGGAUGAAGGUUUUCGGAUCGUAAACUCCUGUCAAGAGGGAAGAAACCUAUUAAGAUUAAUACUCUUGGUAAUUGACGGUACCUCUAGAGGAAGCACCGGCUAAUUCAGUGCCAGCAGCCGCGGUAAUACUGAAGGUGCAAGCGUUAAUCGGAAUCACUGGGCGUAAAGCGCUCGUAGGUGGCUUUGUAAGUCAGGUGUGAAAGCCCACGGCUCAACCGUGGAAUUGCACUUGAUACUGCAUCGCUAGAGUAUAGGAGAGGGAAGUGGAAUUUCUGGUGUAGGAGUGAAAUCCGUAGAGAUCAGAAGGAACACCCGUGGCGAAGGCGACUUCCUGGACUAUUACUGACACUGAGGAGCGAAAGCGUGGGGAGCAAACAGGAUUAGAUACCCUGGUAGUCCACGCCGUAAACGAUGGGUAC